CUCAGUCUGUCCAGAACUUUCCCUGUGGAAGGAUGUACUGAAGUGAGGUGCGAUUUAUUGUGCGACGUACUUUGUUCAUUUACGUUUUGUGCCGUGUUCCUUCUUCCUCAGUUAUGGAAUGAUUUAUCCUAGCAAAUUGUUGAGUUACAGGUGUGUGCGCUAUUUAUCAACGACUACCUGAUGGCGUCGUCAACAAUCUUCAAAGGAGCGACGGAAAGAAAACAUUUUCCAGUUUUAAAAUAUUAAAGUAAGUUUUGAUCUAAUCCUAUGCGCUAAACUCUCCAUAGUAAUACAUACUACAUACAUUAAUUAUUGCUUCAUUGAGCCUCCGGUGAGGACGUCAUUACUUAACAGAAGCCGGUUCAACACGCGCAGCUCCUGUUCAUGACGUCAUCACUAAACUCAAGCCAGCUGAACACGCGCAGCACGGAGGGUACCCCGAGCGCGGUAGGAGGAAGGAAGAACGAGAGGAGGAAGAACGGUAAAUUCGGAAGGGGGAAACCCACCGGUCACCAGCACUCAGAGAUCCGCUGAGAUUGAAGCUGACUUUGAAGCUGAGUUGGCGAAAUUAUUCAACCGAUCCGUCGGGUCCCGAAGCCGAAGCAAACCCGAAGCCGAAGCAAAACCCGAACGGGGUUCAGCACGACCCUUCGUUAAAAUAGCCCCCUCUCCCUUUUUUGCCAGGAUUUCUUUCCGAAAUGAUACAGUGCGAACCAUUAUAUCAAUAUGAUUCGAUUUAUUGAAUAUUUUAUAUAACAUAAAUACAAAAAAAAACACAACACAUGCACAAUAACCACUGCACUUAAUUCUAAAUUAACGCAUAUAAUUUAACAAACACUUUUUACACUCGCACAGAGAAAAAUUAACACAACACUUUCUGCUCCUCAUCGCUGUCGCGCCUAGUUCUCGCUGCACUGUACGGCCCACCAUCUCCAACACCACGACACAGCCACAGGUUUUGUUGUCUCCGUUCGCCGUGAAACACACAUGAAAUGGAAGAAAAAUGAUAUUAAUUAGAAGGGGGAUGUUGGUUGAAAAUUUUAAUCACUUUUACUUACCUCAAAUUAAACAAAACUCUAUUUUUUACGGGGUUUAUCCGCUGACUACCAAGCGCUGAAACACCACACAAGCACCAACCUCACUGGACUGAAAGUAAAGCCUACUGCGUGAAUGUGUGUAUGCGCUUCUGCCAAGCCAACCGCGCCGUACUGUGUGUGUAGCCAAGUGCGUGUGUGUGUAUAUUUGCACUACUGGACACAGAACACAAAUCUCACCGCACAGCAGAGCGUGUGUCGCCAAGUGUAUGCAUGUGUGUAUUUGCACCACUGAAUUCUGAACGUCCGCCGCACCGCACCACACAGCGUGUAUCGCCAAGUGCGUGGCUGUGUGUUGUAUCACCGUGGUGUGGCCAAAUGUGUGCAUGUGUGUACUUGCUCCACUGAAAGCCGGUAUCGCACCAGAUUUCGGGUGUCGCCUUGUGCGUGUGUGUGUUAUUGUCACAGCACACUCGUUCGUCAUUUUUUUUCGUUUUUUCGCUUGAUCCCAACCAACCAAGCCGAGCUCUUUCGAAGCAAAUCCUUCGUGAUGAGCGAGAAAGCAUGUCACGCAUCUCACGUGUUGCCAUGCGAACAGCUGCGCGUGUAGAUGUGUGAGUGCGCGGAGAAAAAUUGAUGGAUGACGAAUGGAGGAAGGGGAGGAGCUUCACUCUCUCGAAGCAUUUGAAGGGGGGCCGAACGCUCUCUUCACAUUUUGCGAAGAAUCAGUUCAACUCAAACGCUUGGCAAAGAGAAUAUACUACUUUGAGGCACUAAAUAUUUCAGGCAAUGGAGUCGUGGUCUAUUAGUAUUAGUAUAAAUUAUUUCCCUUACCCCAUUUAUGAAUUAAUUUAAAGGAAUAAACAUUAAUCUGAGUAAAAUUUCAAAAGUCACUUUUAGCAAAAAACUUUUUCCAAAUGUGUUUUGAAAUUCUGAAUCGAUCUUGUAAAGACGGGUUUUUCAUACAAUGCGUACUUUUUAAGAUAUUUGGAAAAGUACGGUUCAUAGGGUGCGCGGAUGAUAUACUAGCAAUGCUAUUCCAAUGAAAUGCUAUUCCGCUCUAUCAAAUUUUCAGCUGAGCGAUUUUGUCUGUUUACGUUAGAACCGCUCCAUUAUUAUUGCGCCUUUUACGUCCUCACGCGCGAAUUCACAAAUAGUUAAAGUGUUAGGCCCGCUUGUGAUGAACAGUAGAUCCACCAUGUACCAUGUUUCAAUUCUCUGAUUAAAUCGCACGUUAUAAAUAAAUCGAAUAUAUCUCCUUCCAAUUUCAAUUAAAAACACAUAACCACUGCACAUAAGGUAGGAAGAUAGAUGAGAGGAGGAGGAGGAGGAGGAGGGGCUAUAAACACGUACGUAAAUAAAA